rnacentral:other from 1 species
GUUUGCCUGCCCUGUUUGUGUCGGGUGACAAAUGUUGAUCCGUUAAAUUGGAUCUUUAGGGAGCCGGUAUAAGGACAGUGGUGUGCAGGCCUCUUAAGUGAGGAAGCCUAAACUCCCUUCAAGGCGCCCACUUAGAAAAUUAAGGAUCUGAUUUUCAUCUGCACGGCAGGGUGGGUUUUUA